GACGAACGCUGGCGGCGUGCUUAACACAUGCAAGUCGAACGGAAAGACCCUGCUUGCAGGGUACUCGAGUGGCGAACUGGUGGGUAACACGUGGGUGAUCUGCACUGCACUUCGUGAUAGGCCUUGGAAACUGGGUCUUAUACCUGAUAGGAGCCAUUUUUAGUGUGUUGGUUGGAAAGUUUUUUCGGUGUAGGAUGAUCUCGCGGCCUAUCAGCUUGUUGGUGGGGUAAUGGCCUACCAAGGCGGCGACGGGUAGCCGGACUGAGAGGGUGGACGGCCACAUUGGGACUGAGAGAAGGCCGAGACGCCUACGGGAGGCAGCAGGGGGGAAUAGUGCACAAUGGGCGCAAGGCUGAUGCAGAGAGGCAGCGUGGGGGAUGACGGCCUUCGGGUUGUAAAAUCCGUUCGCUAGGGAAGAAGCUUUUUGUGACGGUACCUAGAUAAGAAGCACCGGCUAACUACGUG
rnacentral:rRNA from 1 species